AGCAGAGUAGCCUAGUGGACAGGGCACAGGCCUGGGAACCAGGAGCACCUGGGUUCUAAUCCCGGCUUUGCCA
rnacentral:tRNA from 1 species